AUUAAACGCUGGCGGCAUGCCUUACACAUGCAAGUCGAACGGUAGCGCGGGGCGACCUGGCGACGAGUGGCGAACGGGUGAGUAAAGCAUCGGAACGUGCCCUGGAAUGGGGGAUAACGUAGCGAAAGUUACGCUAAUACCGCAUAUUCUGUGAGCAGGAAAGCAGGGGAUCGCAAGACCUUGCGUUCUGGGAGCGGCCGAUGUCGGAUUAGCUAGUUGGUGGGGUAAAAGCCUACCAAGGCGACGAUCCGUAGCGGGUCUGAGAGGAUGAUCCGCCACACUGGGAUUGAGACACGGCCCAGACUCCUACGGGAGGCAGCAGUGGGGAAUUUUGGACAAUGGGCGGAAGCCUGAUCCAGCCAUGCCGCGUGAGUGAAGAAGGCCU
rnacentral:rRNA from 1 species